rnacentral:rRNA from 1 species
UUUUGUAUAAUGGGUCAGCGACUUAUAUUCUGUAGCAAGGUUAACCGAAUAGGGGAGCCGAAGGGAAACCGAGUCUUAACUGGGCGUUAAGUUGCAGGGUAUAGACCCGAAACCCGGUGAUCUAGCCAUGGGCAGGUUGAAGGUUGGGUAACACUAACUGGAGGACCGAACCGACUAAUGUUGAAAAAUUAGCGGAUGACUUGUGGCUGGGGGUGAAAGGCCAAUCAAACCGGGAGAUAGCUGGUUCUCCCCGAAAGCUAUUUAGGUAGCGCCUCGUGAAUUCAUCUCCGGGGGUAGAGCACUGUUUCGGCAAGGGGGUCAUCCCGACUUACCAACCCGAUGCAAACUGCGAAUACCGGAGAAUGUUAUCACGGGAGACACACGGCGGGUGCUAACGUCCGUCGUGAAGAGGGAAACAACCCAGACCGCCAGCUAAGGUCCCAAAGUCAUGGUUAAGUGGGAAACGAUGUGGGAAGGCCCAGACAGCCAGGAUGUUGGCUUAGAAGCAGCCAUCAUUUAAAGAAAGCGUAAUAGCUCACUGGUCGAGUCGGCCUGCGCGGAAGAUGUAACGGGGCUAAACCAUGCACCGAAGCUGCGGCAGCGACGCUUAUGCG